rnacentral:misc_RNA from 1 species
AACGCACAUUGCGCCCUUUGGUAUUCCGAAGGGCAUGCCUGUUCGAGCGUCAUUAUCCACCCUCAAGCCCGGCUUGUUAUUGGGUCCUUAUCGGUAGAACGAUAGGCCUGAAAGAUAAUGGCGGCGUCAUGAUAGACCCCAGGUGCAGCGAGCUUUAAGCAUACACUGAGGUGGUCGUUAUGUCCUGGCCCUCUUGUUAAACACAUUUUAACCAAGGUUGACCUCGGAUCAGGUAGGAAUACCCGCUGAACUUAA